UACGUAGGGUGCAAGCGUUAAUCGGAAUUACUGGGCGUAAAGCGUGCGCAGGCGGUUGUGCAAGACAGAUGUGAAAUCCCCGGGCUCAACCUGGGAACUGCAUUUGUGACUGCAUCGCUGGAGUGCGGCAGAGGGGGAUGGAAUUCCGCGUGUAGCAGUGAAAUGCGUAGAUAUGCGGAGGAACACCGAUGGCGAAGGCAAUCCCCUGGGCCUGCACUGACGCUCAUGCACGAAAGCGGGUGGGAGCAAACAGG
rnacentral:rRNA from 1 species